GAUGAAGAACGCAGCGAACUGCGAUAAGUAAUGUGAAUUGCAGAAUUCAGUGAAUCAUCGAGUCUUUGAACGCACAUUGCGCCCCCUGGCAUUCCGGGGGGCAUGCCUGUCCGAGCGUCAUUGCUGCCCUUCAAGCCCGGCUUGUGUGUUGGGUCGUCGUCCCCCCCGGGGACGGGCCCGAAAGGCAGCGGCGGCACCGCGUCCGGUCCUCGAGCGUAUGGGGCUUUGUCACCCGCUCGAUUAGGGCCGGCCGGGCGCCAGCCGGCGUCUCCAACCUUCUAUUUUACCAGGUUGACCUCGGAUCAGGUAGGGAUACCCGCUGAACUUAAGCAUAUCAAUAAGCGGAGGA
rnacentral:misc_RNA from 1 species